rnacentral:ncRNA from 1 species
AACAAUGCAGGCAAGGGAGGUUGGCAAAAUGGAUCCGUAACUUCAGGAAAAGGAUUGGCUCUGAAGGCUGGGCACGGGGGUCCCAGUUCCGAACACGUCGGUUGUCGGUGGACUGCUCGAGCUGCUCUCGCGGCGAGAGCAGGUCGCCGUGUGCCGGCCGGGGGACGGAUUGGGAACGGUUCCUUCGGGGGCCUUCUCCGGGCGUCGAACAACCAACUCAGAACUGGCUGUUACUUACUAAGUUGUGUCAGUUUUACUAU